GAGUUUGAUCAUGGCUCAGGAUGAACGCUGGCGGCGUGCUUAACACAUGCAAGUCGAACGAACCUUCGGGUUAGUGGCGGACGGGUGAGUAACGCGUGGGAAUCUGCCCUCAGGAGGGGGAUAACGGUUGGAAACGGCCGCUAAUACCCCAUAUGCCGAGAGGUGAAAUGAAUUUCGCCUGAGGAUGAGCCCGCGUCUGAUUAGCUAGUUGGUGAGGUAAUGGCUCACCAAGGCAUCGAUCAGUAGCUGGUCUGAGAGGAUGAUCAGCCACACUGGGACUGAGACACGGCCCAGACUCCUACGGGAGGCAGCAGUGGGGAAUUUUCCGCAAUGGGCGCAAGCCUGACGGAGCAACGCCGCGUGAGGGAUGAAGGCCUCUGGGCUGUAAACCUCUUUUCUCAAGGAAGAAGAUCUGACGGUACUUGAGGAAUAAGCCACGGCUAAUUCCGUGCCAGCAGCCGCGGUAAUACGGGAGUGGCAAGCGUUAUCCGGAAUUAUUGGGCGUAAAGCGUCCGCAGGCGGCUUUUCAAGUCUGCUGUUAAAACGUGGAGCUUAACUCCAUCAAGGCAGUGGAAACUGAUUGGCUUGAGUGUGGUAGGGGCAGAGGGAAUUCCCGGUGUACCGGUGAAAUGCGUAGAUAUCGGGAAGAACACCAGUGGCGAAGGCGCUCUGCUGGGCCAUAACUGACGCUCAUGGACGAAAGCCAGGGGAGCGAAAGGAAUUAGAUACCCCUGCAGUCCUGGCCGUAAACGAUGAACACUAGGUGUCGGGGGGAAUCGACCCCCCUCGGUGUAGUAGCCAACGCGCUAAGUGUUCCGCCUGGGGAGUACGCACGCAAGUUGAUACUCAAAGGAAUUGACAAGGGCCCGCACAAGCGGUGGAGUUUGUGGUUUUAUUCGAUGCAACGCGAAGAACCUUACCAGGGUUUGACAUCCUGCGAAUCUCUUUGAAACGAGAGAGUGCCUUUUGAACGCAGUGACAGGUGGUGCAUGGCUGUCGUCAACUCGUGUCGUGAGAUGUUGGGUUAAGUCCCGCAACGAGCGCAACCCACGUUUUUAGUUUCCAGCAUUUGGUUGGGCACUCUAAAGAGACCGCCGGUGAUAAACCGGAGGAAGGGGGGGAUGAGGUCAAGUCAUCAUGCCCCUUACAUCCUGGGCUACACACGUACUACAAUGCUACGGACAAAGGGCAGCAAGUUCGCGAGGACAAGCAAAUCCCAUAAACCGUGGCUCAGUUCAGAUUGUAGGCUGCAACUCGCCUACGUGAAGAAGGAAUCGCUAGUAAUCGCAGGUCAGCAUACUGCGGUGAAUACGUUCCCGGGCCUUGUACACACCGCCCGUCACACCAUGGAAGUUGGCCACGCCCGAAGUCGUUACUCCAACCCUUGUGGAGGAGGACGCCGAAGGUGGGGCUGAUGACUGGGGUGAAGUCGUAACAAGGUAACC
rnacentral:rRNA from 1 species